UUAUUUAAAGUUUGAUUUUAGCUUUUAUAUUUAUAAUAUAUUUAUUUUGCAUGUAAAUUUUUGUGAGAAAAUUUAAAAUUUUUAAAUAAAAUAUUUAAAUUUAAUUUUUAAUUGCAGCAUUUAAUUUUAAUAAUUAAAGAUAUUUAGAAUUAUUAUUUAUUUUAAUAUAGAUAAAAAAUGUGCCAGCAAUUGCGGUUAUACAUUUUAUAUAAGUAAAUAAGUUUUAUUAAGUAAUUUAUAUGAAAUUUUAAUUUAAAUUUAAAUUAAAUUAGGUGAAAUUAUUUAUUUUGUUAAAAAUUAUUUUUAAUAUUAUUUAAUUAUUAAAUCUUUAUUAAAACUAGGAUUAGAUACCCUAUUAUUUUAGAUAUAAAAUUUGAAUAGAGGAUUAAUAGUUAUUUACUUUAAACUUAAAAAAAUUGGCGGUAUUUAAAUCUAAUUAGGGGAACUUGUUUUUUAAAUGAUAAUCCUCAAGAAAUCUUACUUAAAUUAAAAAUUUAUUUAUUGUCGUUAUCAGAUUAUUUUAUAAGAAUUUUAAUUUUCUAUAAUAUUUAAAUUAUAUUUAUUUCAGAUCAUUAUGUAGUUUAUAUUUAAGUUAAAAUGAGUUACAAUAAAAUUUAUCUAAACGCAUUUUUUAUUGAAAUAUAAGAAUUAAGGUGGACUUAAUAGUAAAAUUUAAAAAUUAAAUUAUUUUGAAUUAAGAAUUAAAUAUGCACAUAUUGCCCGUCACUCUCAUUUUAAAAUGAGAUAAGUCGUAACAAAGUAGAAGUACUGGAAAGUGUUUCUAGAAAGUUUUAUUUAUUGAAAUU
rnacentral:ncRNA from 1 species